CACCACAACAGGUGGAGCCUGCGGUUUAAUCGGACUCAACGCCGGGAAACUCACCAGAUAAGACAGCUGAAUGAUAGUCGGGCUGAAGACUCUACUUGACUAGCUGAGAGGAGGUGCAUGGCCGUCGUCAGUUCGUACUGUGAAGCAUCCUGUUAAGUCAGGCAACGAGCGAGACCCACGCCAACAGUUGCCAGCAUGUCCUCCGGGAUGAUGGGGACACUGUUGGGACCGCCUCUGCUAAAGAGGAGGAAGGAAUGGGCAACGGUAGGUCAGCAUGCCCCGAAUUAUCCGGGCUACACGCGGGCUACAAUGGUCAGGACAAUGGGUAUCGACACCGAGAGGUGGAGGCAAUCUCCUAAACCUGUCCUUAGUUCGGAUUGUGGGCUGCAACUCGCCCACAUGAAGCUGGAAUCCGUAGUAAUCGCGUUUCAAAAUAGCGCGGUGAAUAUGUCCCUGCUCCUU
rnacentral:rRNA from 1 species